UGGGGAAUAUUGGGCAAUGGACGAAAGUCUGACCCAGCAACGCCGCGUGAAGGAAGAAGGUCUUCGGAUUGUAAACUUUUGUCUUAUGGGACGAUAAUGACGGUACCAUAGGAGGAAGCCACGACUAACUACGUGCCAGCAGUCGCGGUAAUACGUAGGUGGCGAGCGUUAUCCGGAAUUAUUGGGUGUAAAGGGUGCGUAGGCGGGAUGUAAAGUCAGAUGUGAAAUACCGAAGCUUAACUUCGGAGCUGCAUUUGAAACUUACGUUCUUGAGUGAAGUAGAGGUAAGCGGAAUUCCUAGUGUAGCGGUGAAAUGCGUAGAUAUUAGGAGGAACACCGGUGGCGAAGGCGGCUUACUGGGCUUUUACUGACGCUAAGGCACGAAAGUGUGGGGAGCAAACAGG
rnacentral:rRNA from 2 species